AGUAGAGAUGGGGUUUCACCAUGUUGGUCAGGCUGGUCUCAAACCCCUGACCUCAGGUGAUCCACCCACC
rnacentral:miRNA from 1 species